rnacentral:rRNA from 1 species
AGAGUGCUUUGAUCCUGGCUCAGGAUGAACGCUAGCGGCAGGCUUAACACAUGCAAGUCGAGGGGUAACAGGAGUGCUUGCACUCGCUGACGACCGGCGCACGGGUGCGUAACGCGUAUAGAACCUACCUUUUACUGGGUAGGGAUAGCCUUUAGAAAUGAAGAUUAAUACCUCAUAGUAUUGUAAACUGGCAUCGGUUUAUAAUUAAAGAUUUAUUGGUAAAAGAUGGCUAUGCGUCUUAUUAGCUAGAUGGUAAGGUAACGGCUUACUACCAUGGCAACGAUAAGUAGGGGCCCUGAGAGGGGGAUCCCCCACACUGGUACUGAGACACGGACCAGACUCCUACGGGAGGCAGCAGUGAGGAAUAUUGGGCAAUGGAGGCAACUCUGACCCAGCCAUGCGUACGCGUGCAGGAAGACUGCCCUAUGGGUUGUAAACUGCUUUUAUACAGGAAGAAACACACCUACGUGUAGGUGCUUGACGGUACUGUAAGAAUAAGCACCGGCUAACUCCGUGCCAGCAGCCGCGGUAAU